rnacentral:misc_RNA from 1 species
AACUGAUACUACCUGCGGGAACCUGCGGAGGGAUCAUUACUGAAGUGAUUUGGGGAUGUUGCUGGCCCUCCCUCAAGGGGGGGCACUGUGCACUCCUCGAAACAAUUCACAAUUUCCAUCACACCCCUUGUGCACACCUUGUAGGCACCCAAACCCACCUCCGGGUGGUGGGGUCCUAUGUAUUCCUUCAUCUCACACUCUGUUGAAUGGUGCCAUGGGACGCAUCUAAAGGAUUAUUUG